AGUGAACGCUGGCGGUAGGCCUAACACAUGCAAGUCGAACGGCAGCACAGUAAGAGCUUGCUCUUACGGGUGGCGAGUGGCGGACGGGUGAGGAAUACAGCGGAAUCUACUUUUUCGUGGGGGAUAACGUAGGGAAACUUACGCUAAUACCUCAUACGACCUACGGGUGAAAGCAGGGGAUCUUCGGACCUUGCGCGAUUGAAUGAGCCGAUGUCGGAUUAGCUAGUUGGCGGGGUAAAGGCCCACCAAGGCGACGAUCCGUAGCUGGUCUGAGAGGAUGAUCAGCCACACUGGAACUGAGACACGGUCCAGACCCCUACGGGAGGCAGAAGUGGGGAAUAUUGGACAAUGGGCGCAGGCCUGAUCCAGCCAUACCGCGUGGGUGAAGAAGGCCUUCGGGUUGUAAAGCCCUUUUGUUGGGAAAGAAAAGCAGCAGGUUAAUACCCCGCUGUUCUGACGGUACCCAAAGAAUAAGCACCGGCUAACUUCGUG
rnacentral:rRNA from 1 species